GUGCUCCCUUCAGCAACAUAUAUACUAAAUUAGAAUGAUACAGAGAAGAUUAGCAUGGUCCCUGAACAAGGAUGACAUGCAAAUUCAUGAAACGUUGAAUAUUAGA
ensembl:snRNA U6 U6 spliceosomal RNA